rnacentral:rRNA from 1 species
GCGUAAAGGGCUCGCAGGCGGUUUCUUAAGUCUGAUGUGAAAGCCCCCGGCUCAACCGGGGAGGGUCAUUGGAAACUGGGGAACUUGAGUGCAGAAGAGGAGAGUGGAAUUCCACGUGUAGCGGUGAAAUGCGUAGAGAUGUGGAGGAACACCAGUGGCGAAGGCGACUCUCUGGUCUGUAACUGACGCUGAGGAGCGAAAGCGUGGGGAGCGAACAGGAUUAGAUACCCUGGUAGUCCACGCCGUAAACGAUGAGUGCUAAGUGUUAGGGGGUUUCCGCCCCUUAGUGCUGCAGCUAACGCAUUAAGCACUCCGCCUGGGGAGUACGGUCGCAAGACUGAAACUCAAAGGAAUUGACGGGGGCCCGCACAAGCGGUGGAGCAUGUGGUUUAAUUCGAAGCAACGCGAAGAACCUUACCAGGUCUUGACAUCCUCUGACAAUCCUAGAGAUAGGACGUCCCCUUCGGGGGCAGAGUGACAGGUGGUGCAUGGUUGUCGUCAGCUCGUGUCGUGAGAUGUU